rnacentral:rRNA from 1 species
AACGAACGCUGGCGGCAGGCUUAACACAUGCAAGUCGAGCGCCCCGCAAGGGGAGCGGCAGACGGGUGAGUAACGCGUAGGAAUCUACCCAUCUCUACGGAAUAACGCAUGGAAACGUGUGCUAAUACCGUAUACGUCCUUCGGGAGAAAGAUUUAUCGGAGAUGGAUGAGCCCGCGUUGGAUUAGCUAGUUGGUGGGGUAGAGGCCUACCAAGGCGACGAUCCAUAGCUGGUCUGAGAGGAUGAUCAGCCACACUGGGACUGAGCCACGGCCCAUACUCCUACGGGAGGCAGCAGUGGUGAAUAUUGGACAAUGGGCGCAAGCCUGAUCCAGCCAUGCCGCGUGAGUGAUGAAGGCCCUAGGGUUGUAAAGCUCUUUCACCGGUGAAGAUAAUGACGGUAACCGGAGAAGAAGCCCCGGCUAACUUCGUGCCAGCCGCCGCCGUAAAAC